ACGCCUUCUGCUGCGACCCUACUACCGUCGUCCCGACCAGAUCUAGCCCAAACCCCUUGUGCUUUGACCCUAGCCGCCGACGACCGCCCUCUGUCGCCCGACCCCAGCAGCCCUCGACCACCCAUCGCACCAACCUUCCUCCCGGACCACCGCUGCCGCCGUCAAGUACCAUCGUCCGCAGAUCUGAUCCGCCCUCCGCCGCAUCCCUAGCGCCGCCCAAAUGUCGCCGCUCCCUCCACGCUUUCUCCCUGGGCUGCAACGUCUCCUUGCACCUCUCCCGAACUGCCAAGAUGGGCGUGCAACGAGAUAGGUUUGGCACCGCCGGCCCCUCCUGGUCAUCCUCCUCCUGUGCGUGCUCUUCCGCCCCUGGUCACGUCAUGCUCUCCAGCCCAUCAUCCUUCAUCCGUACUACCCCAGUUCGUGCUCCUCCGGCCUCCCCUUCUUGUACUUUGAGCCCAAGAAUCAUAAGUUAAUAGAUGUUGGUGUCUCAGAAUGACAGGUAAUACCAUUUAAAAAUUUCAAUGAUUAAUGACACCACAUGGUCGAGCACAUAUGCCAAAUCUUCUUUCUCUGCUUUGAAGAAAAUAGCAGAGCACUCGGAUGGAAGAAUGUAUCUGGAACGUCAGCCUUAGCCAGUGCAGACCGCUCUAGCAACAGUUGCCGCUUUGUUUUACUUGUAAAUAUCUAUUACAAAGUGCUAUUUUCAGCUGUAAACAUUCAGCCUAUACGACUAUGUACUGCAUGUUUUACUAA